rnacentral:rRNA from 1 species
UACCAGCACCCCGAGUGGUCGGGACGAUUAUUGGGCCUAAAGCAUCCGUAGCCGGUUUUACAAGUCCUCCGUUAAAUCCAGCUGCUUAACAGAUGGGCUGCGGAGGAUACUAUAAGACUAGGAGGCAGGAGAGGCAAGCGGUACUCAGUGGGUAGGGGUAAAAUCCGUUGAUAUCAUGGGGAACACCAAAAGCGAAGGCAAUUCACUGGCGCAUUCCUGACACUGAAACACGAAAGCGUGGGUAGCGAAUGGG